rnacentral:rRNA from 1 species
GAAAGAGGGGGCAACUCCUCAAGUAGAGUGGCGAACGGGUGAGUAACGCGUGAAGAACCUGCCUUCAACAGGGGGAUAACACUCCCAACGGGGUGCUAAUACCGCAUGAGACCACGGAUCUGCAUGGAUCUGAGGUCAAAGGUGGCCUCUGCUUGCAAGCUACCGGUUGAAGAUGGCUUCGCGUCCCAUUAGCUAGUUGGCGGUGUAAAAGACCACCAAGGCGACGAUGGGUAGCUGGUCUGAGAGGAUGGUCAGCCACACUGGGACUGAGAUACGGCCCAGACUCCUACGGGAGGCAGCAGUCGAGAGGCUUUGGCAAUGGGGGAAACCCUGACCAAGCGACGCCGCGUGGAGGAUGAAGGCCCUUGGGUUGUAAACUCCUUUUGUUGGGGAAGAAAUGCGAUCAGGUAAACAAUCUGGUCGUUUGACGGUACCCGGCGAAUAAGCUCCGGCUAACUCCGUGCCAGCAGCCGCGGUAACACGGGGGGAGCAAGCGUUGUUCGGAAUCACUGGGCGUAAGGGGCGUGUAGGCGGUCAAGUAAGUGGGAUGUGAAAUGCCUCGGCUCACCCGGGGACCUGCAUCCCAAACUGCUUGGCUUGAGUAUGGGAGAGGAUGAGGGAAUUCCUGGUGUAGCGGUGAAAUGCGUAGAUAUCAGGAGGAACACCGGUGGCGAAAGCGCUCAUCUGGCCCAAUACUGACGCUGAGGCGCGAAAGCUAGGGGAGCAAACGGGAUUAGAUACCCCGGUAGUCCUAGCCGUAAACGGUG